GCCGUAGCGAAAGCGAGUCUGAAUAGGGCGUUUAGUAUUUGGUCGUAGACCCGAAACCAGGUGAUCUACCCUUGGUCAGGUUGAAGUUCAGGUAACACUGAAUGGAGGACCGAACCGACUUACGUUGAAAAGUGAGCGGAUGAACUGAGGGUAGCGGAGAAAUUCCAAUCGAACCUGGAGAUAGCUGGUUCUCUCCGAAAUAGCUUUAGGGCUAGCCUCAAGUGAUGAUUAUUGGAGGUAGAGCACUGUUUGGACGAGGGGCCCCUCUCGGGUUACCGAAUUCAGACAAACUCCGAAUGCCAAUUAAUUUAACUUGGGAGUCAGAACAUGGGUGAUAAGGUCCGUGUUCGAAAGGGAAACAGCCCAGACCACCAGCUAAGGUCCCAAAAUAUAUGUUAAGUGGAAAAGGAUGUGGCGUUGCCCAGACAACUAGGAUGUUGGCUUAGAAGCAGCCAUCAUUUAAAGAGUGCGUAAUAGCUCACUAGUCGAGUGACACUGCGCCGAAAAUGUACCGGGGCUAAACAUAUUACCGAAGCUGUGGAUUGUCCUUUGGACAAUGGUAGGAGAGCGUUCUAAGGGCGUUGAAGCAUGAUCGUAAGGACAUGUGGAGCGCUUAGAAGUGAGAAUGCCGGUGUGAGUAGCGAAAGACGGGUGAGAAUCCCGUCCACCGAUUGACUAAGGUUUCCAGAGGAAGGCUCGUCCGCUCUGGGUUAGUCGGGUCCUAAGCUGAGGCCGACAGGCGUAGGCGAUGGAUAACAGGUUGAUAUUCCUGUACCACCUAUAAUCGUUUUAAUCGAUGGGGGGACGCAGUAGGAUAGGCGAAGCGUGCGAUUGGAUUGCACGUCUAAGCAGUAAGGCUGAGUAUUAGGCAAAUCCGGUACUC
rnacentral:rRNA from 1 species